CAGCUCUCCUCCACUGCAAUCCUUCUGCUGCCUCUCCUGCCUGCAGUACCUGGGGCUGAGGAGACCAGGAGAGAGGCAGCUGCCCUAGCAGACAUCCAGAAAUCCAGGGCUUGGAGCUUGGAUGAGAUUUUGAGCUAAAUUCUAACAGAAAGACAUCCAGAGGGUUCAUGCAGUGGAGAAGUUCUGUUCCACAAAAUGAGCUAAUGUGCUGAUGACAGCAUGGAGAGUAAAAC
rnacentral:lncRNA from 1 species